rnacentral:rRNA from 1 species
GAGUUUGAUCGUGGCUCAGGAUGAACGCUGGCGGCGUGCCUAAUACAUGCAAGUCGAGCGAACGGACGAGAAGCUUGCUUCUCUGAUGUUAGCGGCGGACGGGUGAGUAACACGUGGAUAACCUACCUAUAAGACUGGGAUAACUUCGGGAAACCGGAGCUAAUACCGGAUAAUAUUUUGAACCGCAUGGUUCAAAAGUGAAAGACGGUCUUGCUGUCACUUAUAGAUGGAUCCGCGCUGCAUUAGCUAGUUGGUAAGGUAACGGCUUACCAAGGCAACGAUGCAUAGCCGACCUGAGAGGGUGAUCGGCCACACUGGAACUGAGACACGGUCCAGACUCCUACGGGAGGCAGCAGUAGGGAAUCUUCCGCAAUGGGCGAAAAGCCUGACGGAGCAACGCCGCGUGAGGGAUGAAGGUCUUCGGAUCGUAAAACUCUGUUAUUAGGGAAGAACAUAUGUGUAAGUAACUGUGCACAUCUUGACGGUACCUAAUCAGAAGGCCACGGCUAACUACGUGCC